AGUGAACGCUGGCGGUAGGCCUAACACAUGCAAGUCGAACGGCAGCACAGGAGAGCUUGCUCUCUGGGUGGCGAGUGGCGGACGGGUGAGGAAUACAUCGGAAUCUACUUUUUCGUGGGGGAUAACGUAGGGAAACUUACGCUAAUACCGCAUACGACCUACGGGUGAAAGCAGGGGACCUUCGGGCCUUGCGCGAUUGAAUGAGCCGAUGUCGGAUUAGCUAGUUGGCGGGGUAAAGGCCCACCAAGGCGACGAUCCGUAGCUGGUCUGAGGGGAUGUUCAGCCACACUGGAACUGAGACGCGGUCCGGACUCCUACGGGAGGCAGCAGUGGGGAAUAUUGGACAAUGGGCGCAAGCCUGAUCCAGCCAUACCGCGUGGGUGAAGAAGGCCUUCGGGUUGUAAAGCCCUUUUGUUGGGAAAGAAAUCCAGCUGGCUAAUACCCGGUUGGGAUGACGGUACCCAAAGAAUAAGCACCGGCUAACUUCGUGCCAGCAGCCGCCGUAA
rnacentral:rRNA from 1 species